GAACGAACAAUCUUUUCACAGCGAGCAUCAGUCUAUUUUUUAAAAUUUAAAAUUAUACGUAUUGAUAUCAUAUUCCAAAUCAGCCAUUCAAACACCUGCUAAAUAAUCAAAAUGGGGAAAAGCAGAAGAAAUUAAAAAUUACCUUUGCUAUCCAAUCACAAGCGCCAUUAGUUAAAUUAAUAUCCAAGUCCUUUAAAAUCUCGGCUUUAAGUUUUUCAUAAACCUCCAUGAAUUCUGCCCUAAAAUCACUCAUUUUUCAAUGUUGUUUUCGUUUGUUUUAGAGGAGGAGA
rnacentral:misc_RNA from 1 species